rnacentral:rRNA from 9 species
UGCAGAAUCCCGUGAACCAUCGAGUUUUUGAACGCAAGUUGCGCCCGAAGCCAUUCGGCCGAGGGCACGUCUGCCUGGGCGUCACGC